CCGGUCGACGAUUCCUCGUCCUGG
rnacentral:siRNA from 1 species